rnacentral:rRNA from 1 species
UACGAAGGGGGCUAGCGUUGCUCGGAAUCACUGGGCGUAAAGGGUGCGUAGGCGGGUCUUUAAGUCAGGGGUGAAAUCCUGGAGCUCAACUCCAGAACUGCCUUCGAUACUGAAGAUCUUGAGUUCGGGAGAGGUGAGUGGAACUGCGAGUGUAGAGGUGAAAUUCGUAGAUAUUCGCAAGAACACCAGUGGCGAAGGCGGCUCACUGGCCCGAUACUGACGCUGAUGUGCGAAAGCGUGGGGAGCAAACAGG